CUCAACUCCAUAGUCCAUAUUCAUUGUUAGUACACCUAACUCUAUUUAUAGUAAUUCAAUAAUCGAUUGAAAUGAAUUGAGAAACUCCCGGAUAAAUACCUUGAGACUGCCCGAAUGUUUCUAGAAUUUUAUCUCUAACGUUUACGAUGUUCGAAAGAGGACGGCUAUUUAGUUAGCUUUGUUGUGAAAUUUACAGCUAGAGAUUGGGGCAGUCGCUCCCCUGUCACGUGACCCACUCGUUAUUUCCGCAUUAUUUCGUUCUCUGAUUUGCUGUCGGCGCUUUACGUCAUCAGUACUAGAAGAGAGAGAGUGUGUUGUACAACACGGUCAGACGACGGACGGUGAAAUAUGGAAUUACAUCCGGGACUUUUCAGAUUUCAUCCAUAUUUGGAAAGUUUCAUUGUGCUACAUUUCACACGACUUCUCGAUGACAUGCAGUGUGGCUGGCUAAUCCAUAUUUGUACAGAAUAGUCGCAUUUGUAGGUGGACGGUUAAUGAGGAGAUGGUGGAACAAACUGCCCGACAAGACACGAAGAAGAUAUGUUGGUGUGUUGUCAAAGAGUAGACAUUGGAUAUUUGUGGGUACUCUAGGAGCGUUUGCAGCUAGUGCUGGAUAUUAUGCGUAUCAUUUGGAAGAAGCGCCGAUCUCUCAUCGUAGAAGCUAGGUUUAUGGCUGUUGAUCAGAGUGAAAUGAAGGAAUGUGGAGAUUAUUUAUUCUCACUCAAAAUGGCAACAGCUCAAGACAAAAUUGUAUCUGCUGGUCUUCCCUACUAUGCAAGAGUUCUUGGUGAUUGAUUGUUUUAUACUACAGACGUGUUAUGACAUUUGUGAGAGUUUGGUUUUGUGGAAGCAUCUUGCAGUAUCCGAUGGAGAUAACCAACCGGUUGAGUGGCUAUCAAUGCACCCAAUAUUCUUUGACUUGAGAAUUCCCGACUUCAUCGAAUACAGAAAGACAUGCAAUUGUGAUGACUUGAAACACAGUUUGUGUUGCAAAACUCUCACACAUCAGAGUGGAUCAAUGACAUUCUGUAUUGCCUGUUGUGGAUCGACAACAAAGUUGUUGCUGUACACUACAAGAGUGCAUGUGUCAGCCCACAUAUACAUUAGGUGCAAUAUGUGACUUGCACUGGUGGUAUGUGCGGCUAUCAUUACACAGGACCUUGUUGGUCAAUCCUACUAAACUACGGUGUAAAGC